rnacentral:tRNA from 1 species
GCAGUCGUGGCCUACUGGUUAGCGCUUCGGACUUGUAACCGGAGGGUUGCCGGUUCGAACCCCGACCAAUAGGC